GGGGAGGACACCUAUUUUUUAUGCAAUAAUACAUAAUCAUUAUGAUGUAAUACUACUACUAUUAUUUUGUUUUAUAUUUUUAUUAUUAUUGCUAGUUUUUUUUUUUUUUAAUAAAAUUUGUUUAAUUUAUAUAUGUACACAUAUGUAUAUAUCACAUGUUGAUAGUGCAUAUUUUUAAUAUUUUUUAAAAUAUUUUAUUUAUUUUAUCUACAAAUUAUAUAACUUAUUGUUUUUAUCCAUAAAGUAACAUUAAUAAUUUACCAUAUUUUUUUUUUUUUGUCAGAUUGUCAAACUGUUAAUAGAAAAUGGUGCUGACGUUCAAAUAAAAGACAAUAAUAAUGCUAAUGUUUAUGACUAUGCCGAUUUUAGUGGAAAAACAAAACUAUCAUCAUAUAUAUUAUAUAAAAGUAAUGAAAUAAUACUAAAAGAAAAUGAAACUUGCUAAAUUAAGACAAAUGUAGCUAGCUAAGUUAAAGAAAUUGUAGCUNNNNNNNNNNUUUUUUUAUUAACUUAAGGAGGGGAGGACACCUAUUUUUUAUGCAAUAAUACAUAAUCAUUAUGAUGUAAUACUACUACUAUUAUUUUGUUUUAUAUUUUUAUUAUUAUUGCUAGUUUUUUUUUUUUUUAAUAAAAUUUGUUUAAUUUAUAUAUGUACA
rnacentral:lncRNA from 1 species